rnacentral:misc_RNA from 1 species
GAUGAAGAACGUAGCGAAAUGCGAUAAGUAAUGUGAAUUGCAGAAUUCAGUGAAUCAUCGAAUCUUUGAACGCACAUUGCGCCCGCUAGUAUUCUGGCGGGCAUGCCUGUCCGAGCGUCAUUUCAACCCUCAAGCCCCCGGGCUUGGUGUUGGGGAUCGGCGAGCCUCCGCGCCCGCCGUCCCCUAAAUCUAGUGGCGGUCUCGCUGUAGCUUCCUCUGCGUAGUAGCACACCUCGCACUGGGAAACAGCGCGGCCACGCCGUUAAACCCCCAACUUCUGAACGUUUGACCUCGGAUCAGGUAGGAAUACCCGCUGAACUUAAGCAUAUCAAAGCGGAGGA